GUGUAUCUUCCGAUGCCUCGCCCAAGGAUGAGCAAUCUGCUAACGGUGGGAAGAGGAAAACGAAAACCAUAGAUGUUUCCAAUGAUUGAAAACACCGUGAUCACUGGUCGAUACAGAGAAUAAUUGUCGUGAAUUCAAAAUGUUCGAAUGAAAUUUUAUGUGAGUUAUUUACUUGAUACUUCUAUCUGUCAACUAUAGCUGCCGACGGAUACUUUCGUUUGAAGACAACUUUGUUCAAUUAAAAGUUAAAAAAGAAAGGAAGAGGGUGUACAAUUUCGAAUCUCCUACCUUGUUUGAUUUGUGGAGUCGAUCAGGUGUGAGUAUGGUUUGGCGAUGAAUCGGUUUUAACAAUUAAAUUUUGUUUCGCGAUUAGUUACUCGAUGUUUCGGAUUUU